rnacentral:rRNA from 1 species
GAGUUUGAUCAUGGCUCAGAUUGAACGCUGGCGGCAGGCCUAACACAUGCAAGUCGAACGGUAACAGGAAGCAGCUUGCUGCUUCGCUGACGAGUGGCGGACGGGUGAGUAAUGUCUGGGAAACUGCCUGAUGGAGGGGGAUAACUACUGGAAACGGUGGCUAAUACCGCAUAACGUCGCAAGACCAAAGAGGGGGACCUUCGGGCCUCUUGCCAUCAGAUGUGCCCAGAUGGGAUUAGCUGGUAGGUGGGGUAACGGCUCACCUAGGCGACGAUCCCUAGCUGGUCUGAGAGGAUGACCAGCCACACUGGAACUGAGACACGGUCCAGACUCCUACGGGAGGCAGCAGUGGGGAAUAUUGCACAAUGGGCGCAAGCCUGAUGCAGCCAUGCCGCGUGUAUGAAGAAGGCCUUCGGGUUGUAAAGUACUU